rnacentral:rRNA from 1 species
AUUGAACGCUGGCGGCAUGCCUUACACAUGCAAGUCGAACGGCAGCACGGACUUCGGUCUGGUGGCGAGUGGCGAACGGGUGAGUAAUACAUCGGAACGUACCCAGUAAUGGGGGAUAACUAUCCGAAAGGAUAGCUAAUACCGCAUACGCCCUACGGGGGAAAGAGGGGGAUCGCAAGACCUCUUGUUAUUGGAGCGGCCGAUGGCUGAUUAGCUAGUUGGUGGGGUAAAGGCCUACCAAGGCAACGAUCAGUAGCGGGUCUUAGAGGACGAUCCGCCACACUGGAACUGAGACACGGUCCAGACUCCUACGGGAGGCAGCAGUGGGGAAUCUUGGACAAUGGGCGCAAGCCUGAUCCAGCAAUGCCGCGUGCGUGAAGAAGGCCUUCGGGUUGUAAAGCGCUUUUGUCAGGGAGCAAAUCCUUGUGGCUAAUACCCACCGGGGAUGAGAGUACCUGAAGAAUAAGGACCGGCUAACUACGUGCCAGCAGCCGCAGUAAAAC